rnacentral:rRNA from 1 species
UUAAGUUAUUAAGGGCGCACGGUGGAUGCCUUGGCACUAGAAGCCGAUGAAGGACGUUACUAACGACGAUAUGCUUUGGGGAGCUGUAAGUAAGCUUUGAUCCAGAGAUUUCCGAAUGGGGAAACCCAGCAUGAGUUAUGUCAUGUUAUCGAUAUGUGAAUACAUAGCAUAUCAGAAGGCACACCCGGAGAACUGAAACAUCUUAGUACCCGGAGGAAGAGAAAGAAAAUUCGAUUCCCUUAGUAGCGGCGAGCGAAACGGGAAGAGCCCAAACCAACAAGCUUGCUUGUUGGGGUUGUAGGACACUCUAUACGGAGUUACAAAGGACGACAUUAGACGAAUCAUCUGGAAAGAUGAAUCAAAGAAGGUAAUAAUCCUGUAGUCGAAAAUGUUGUCUCUCUUGAGUGGAUCCUGAGUACGACGGAGCACGUGAAAUUCCGUCGGAAUCUGGGAGGACCAUCUCCUAAGGCUAAAUACUCUCUAGUGACCGAUAGUGAACCAGUACCGUGAGGGAAAGGUGAAAAGCACCCCGGAAGGGGAGUGAAAUAGAACCUGAAACCGUGUGCUUACAAGUAGUCAGAGCCCGUUAAUGGGUGAUGGCGUGCCUUUUGUAGAAUGAACCGGCGAGUUACGAUUUGAUGCAAGGUUAAGCAGUAAAUGUGGAGCCGUAGCGAAAGCGAGUCUGAAUAGGGCGUUUAGUAUUUGGUCGUAGACCCGAAACCAGGUGAUCUACCCUUGGUCAGGUUGAAGUUCAGGUAACACUGAAUGGAGGACCGAACCGACUUACGUUGAAAAGUGAGCGGAUGAACUGAGGGUAGCGGAGAAAUUCCAAUCGAACCUGGAGAUAGCUGGUUCUCUCCGAAAUAGCUUUAGGGCUAGCCUCAAGUGAUGAUUAUUGGAGGUAGAGCACUGUUUGGACGAGGGGCCCCUCUCGGGUUACCGAAUUCAGACAAACUCCGAAUGCCAAUUAAUUUAACUUGGGAGUCAGAACAUGGGUGAUAAGGUCCGUGUUCGAAAGGGAAACAGCCCAGACCACCAGCUAAGGUCCCAAAAUAUAUGUUAAGUGGAAAAGGAUGUGGCGUUGCCCAGACAACUAGGAUGUUGGCUUAGAAGCAGCCAUCAUUUAAAGAGUGCGUAAUAGCUCACUAGUCGAGUGACACUGCGCCGAAAAUGUACCGGGGCUAAACAUAUUACCGAAGCUGUGGAUUGUCCUUUGGACAAUGGUAGGAGAGCGUUCUAAGGGCGUUGAAGCAUGAUCGUAAGGACAUGUGGAGCGCUUAGAAGUGAGAAUGCCGGUGUGAGUAGCGAAAGACGGGUGAGAAUCCCGUCCACCGAUUGACUAAGGUUUCCAGAGGAAGGCUCGUCCGCUCUGGGUUAGUCGGGUCCUAAGCUGAGGCCGACAGGCGUAGGCGAUGGAUAACAGGUUGAUAUUCCUGUACCACCUAUAAUCGUUUUAAUCGAUGGGGGGACGCAGUAGGAUAGGCGAAGCGUGCGAUUGGAUUGCACGUCUAAGCAGUAAGGCUGAGUAUUAGGCAAAUCCGGUACUCGUUAAGGCUGAGCUGUGAUGGGGAGAAGACAUUGUGUCUUCGAGUCGUUGAUUUCACACUGCCGAGAAAAGCCUCUAGAUAGAAAAUAGGUGCCCGUACCGCAAACCGACACAGGUAGUCAAGAUGAGAAUUCUAAGGUGAGCGAGCGAACUCUCGUUAAGGAACUCGGCAAAAUGACCCCGUAACUUCGGGAGAAGGGGUGCUCUUUAGGGUUAACGCCCAGAAGAGCCGCAGUGAAUAGGCCCAAGCGACUGUUUAUCAAAAACACAGGUCUCUGCUAAACCGUAAGGUGAUGUAUAGGGGCUGACGCCUGCCCGGUGCUGGAAGGUUAAGAGGAGUGGUUAGCUUCUGCGAAGCUACGAAUCGAAGCCCCAGUAAACGGCGGCCGUAACUAUAACGGUCCUAAGGUAGCGAAAUUCCUUGUCGGGUAAGUUCCGACCCGCACGAAAGGCGUAACGAUUUGGGCACUGUCUCAACGAGAGACUCGGUGAAAUCAUAGUACCUGUGAAGAUGCAGGUUACCCGCGACAGGACGGAAAGACCCCGUGGAGCUUUACUGUAGCCUGAUAUUGAAAUUCGGCACAGCUUGUACAGGAUAGGUAGGAGCCUUUGAAACGUGAGCGCUAGCUUACGUGGAGGCGCUGGUGGGAUACUACCCUAGCUGUGUUGGCUUUCUAACCCGCACCACUUAUCGUGGUGGGAGACAGUGUCAGGCGGGCAGUUUGACUGGGGCGGUCGCCUCCUAAAAGGUAACGGAGGCGCUCAAAGGUUCCCUCAGAAUGGUUGGAAAUCAUUCAUAGAGUGUAAAGGCAUAAGGGAGCUUGACUGCGAGACCUACAAGUCGAGCAGGGUCGAAAGACGGACUUAGUGAUCCGGUGGUUCCGCAUGGAAGGGCCAUCGCUCAACGGAUAAAAGCUACCCCGGGGAUAACAGGCUUAUCUCCCCCAAGAGUUCACAUCGACGGGGAGGUUUGGCACCUCGAUGUCGGCUCAUCGCAUCCUGGGGCUGUAGUCGGUCCCAAGGGUUGGGCUGUUCGCCCAUUAAAGCGGUACGCGAGCUGGGUUCAGAACGUCGUGAGACAGUUCGGUCCCUAUCCGUCGUGGGCGUAGGAAAUUUGAGAGGAGCUGUCCUUAGUACGAGAGGACCGGGAUGGACAUACCUCUGGUGUACCAGUUGUCGUGCCAACGGCAUAGCUGGGUAGCUAUGUGUGGACGGGAUAAGUGCUGAAAGCAUCUAAGCAUGAAGCCCCCCUCAAGAUGAGAUUUCCCAACUUCGGUUAUAAGAUCCCUCAAAGACGAUGAGGUUAAUAGGUUCGAGGUGGAAGCAUGGUGACAUGUGGAGCUGACGAAUACUAAUCGAUCGAAGACUUAAUCAA